GCAAGAUUAAAACUCAAAGGAAUAGACGGGGACCCGCACAAGUGGUGGAGCAUGUGGUUUAAUUCGAAGAUACGCGAAGAACCUUACCUAGCCUUGACAUUGAUAGAAUCUUCCAGAGAUGGAGGAGUGCCUUUCGGGGAACUUAAAAACAGGUGCUGCACGGCUGUCGUCAGCUCGUGUCGUGAGAUGUUGGGUUAAGUCCCGCAACGAGCGCAACCCUCGUCAUUAGUUACUAACAGUUCGGCUGAGGACUCUAAUGAGACUGCCUUCGUAAGGAGGAGGAAGGUGAGGACGACGUCAAGUCAUCAUGGCCCUUACGGCUAGGGCGAUACACGUGCUACAAUGGUUAGGACAAUGAGAAGCGAUACCGCGAGGUGGAGCAAAUCUAUAAACCUAAUCUCAGUUCGGAUUGUAGUCUGCAACUCGACUACAUGAAGCUGGAAUCACUAGUAAUCGUAGAUCAGCCAUGCUACGGUGAAUACGUUCCCGGGUCUUGUACUCACCGCCCGUCACACCAUGGGAGUUGAUUUCACCCGAAGCGGGGAAGCUAAACUGGCUACCCUCCACGGUGGAAUUAGCGACUGGGGUGAAGUCGUAACAAGGUA
rnacentral:rRNA from 1 species